GGCCAGGCUGAUGCAUAGCAAGAACAGGGUCUCUGGCCGCAGCAAGAAGUAACGCAUGAUCCGGCCCAGCAGAGACAGCAAAGUCAUGUUGUCUAAUGGAAAUAGAAGCCAUGCAUAUGUUUCUGGUCUAUUUCAAAGGAAGACAGAUGUUGAAGUGAAGGCAGAUGCAGCCUGAUGGAGAUCUGGAGAAUCGACUACAUCACAGCUUCUGCAGUACACAUUUAAUGCCAUCGAGAAGAUCAAAUAUCAAGGAUAAUGAAUAUUUCAAAAUGAGAGACCUAUACAGAAAUACUACCUAAUAUAGGUUCAAGAGCUAAUGACACUUAAAAGACAAAAUGAUAUAUUUGGCUCUGAAAAGAGUUUGAUACUCAUAUUGUUGGCUGAGUUCGGUAAUUGGGUCCAUACUACUAAAUAAUAAUAGGCAACCAUCGAUUCUCCAGAUCAUGGUAUAUGUGCAAGAGGUCUACAACCAUCACACCAAGACCUUUGAUGCGUAUGCCUAAGCAAGAGUACGGGAGGAGUGGAGGCUGCCCAAGACUUACCAUCCCCGCUUUAGACCAUUGAGACAGAAUGCAAAGGCCAGACCCAGUCCAGACAUUCAGUGCCACAAUGUUUAUAGCUUUUGCCAGACAGCAACAGAUCAGAACUGCUGCUAAUUGCCUAAUGCCUCAGUGAAGGUGCAUUUUUGUCAGGAUGAUGUCCCUUAGCCUGUAUCCGACCAAGAAGUGCUUACAAAGCAGUGGGGGUUAGGGUUAUGAGUCACCCUGUACUCACUUUGGAGGUUGCAAUAUUGUGGUAUUUUAUAGGAGCUACCCCACCAGAAGUAGCCCCAUCAUGUUGCUACCAGUUGGAUGCAGUUUAUAGGCUUACCCAGGACCAACUACUUCAUGAUGCUAAGCACUCAAGUAAAGGAAGAAUAAGGAUAGUAGAUUUUCAGUUUCUAAAUUAUUCAAUCAACAAUUGAGUUCAUCAGAAAAUGUCCAUGUAGAAAACAUUGUGAUAAAAAAUAGAAAACACAUUUGCAAAAUUUGUAGUCAUUUUCUAACUAGAUUUAGCUGGUAGGGGUUUCUCUAUUAACUACAGACUAAUUAAAACCAAAUAGUGACUAUGUGCUGAGACAGUCGCUGAAAUAAGACCAAAUCUGUAUACCAUUUCUUCUGCAAAUCAUCUGGAUUUAUUUCCAGGAAGCUAAAUGACUUUGGUCUUAGAAAUUGGCAGUAUUUGUCAACCAACCUCAAGGAAUAUGGAAGCUGACACAGCUAUCAACAAACAAACAAGUGUGUGCUGGAAAGCUAAUCAGAAAACCACGAGAGAUAAGCAGAACUAGUACAAAAUUCAAAUUGAAAAACAAAGAAUGUCUAUUGGCCAACUACCAGCAUUACCAAGUCUUGUAGCAGACUUCCCUUUGUUGACUAAAAGGAUUUAUCUGUGCACCCAUUUGUUGAUUGGUGUUUCAAAGAUCUGCAUAAGUGAGUUAGGUGAAACUGGUUAACUCAAAGUCAACUAGUUAAGUCUGUUUUUGCCUGACUCACAACCAAGCAUCAGAAGCAGAAAUUAAGGACUACCACUGGGUAUAAAAGCAAUUCUUUAAAUUUAAUUUUAUAUUUAUAAAAACACUUCAUUAUAGUACCUUAAUGAGAUAUACAAAACCGGAUAUUAUGUACAUCAUUUUGCAGUGUGACCUUAGCCAAGUAGUUUAGGGCUACAUUUUCAGAAGUGUGCAUUAAUUUUGGAGGCCUCAACUUGUGACAUCUAGUGCAUACAAUUGUCUGUCAUUCCUAUAUAACUGAAGUAAUGCAGCAGUGACUCUGAGGUCUAAGCCCUGCAGUUCUCCUUUCAAGUUGAGGGUGCUCAGCAUCACUACAAAUCAAGCUCUAGGUAUCUCAAAUUGGGCACUCAAACUAAGCAAUGACUUGAAUGUGUGAGGUCAGGAACAGAACCUCAGAACAGAACCUUGAACCAGCAAAGAUCUGAUAAUCUACCUGCUGAGUGCUUGGCCCUUUUAUAAUCUUUUCAAUAAACACAAAGUACAUUUUGGGGUCUUUUGACAUGAGCAAUACAAUUCAGUUCACAUGUACAGUCUCUCAACAUAGUUAUAGAAAGACUGUACAGCUGGUUGUACAACUUAAUAAAAAAGUCCCAUCUUAUCCCAAGAAAACAUUUGAAGUAAGCAUCAUUUCUACUAUAUGGUUUGUUUGUUUGUUUGUGUAUAUAAUUCACAGAUCUCCCAAGUCAGGCAGCAAGCUCUUUCAGUGCAGCCCAAGAUCUGGUCCAUGAGUUUGGCAACAUGAGUAUAACAUAGACCUAGAAAGGAUUUGUCAGUGUGGCCCUAUUUGACACAGCUAUGCUUGCAAACCCUGUUAGGGGAGAUGUAACUGAUGCUAGCAAAAGAGGUUUGUUCGCUACAGCUUAUACUAGUUUCUCAAAUGCAGCAAGUUACACUGGAAAAGGACAUUUUUUUCCCCAGUAUAAAAGAUGUUUCAUCUUUUGCCAACAUAGCUAUGUCAGGUUUGAGCAAAAGCACAACACAUUAG